GGAGCCAGGUGGGUGAUCCCCAGGUCACGACUUUGGCGUAAAAACGAGAUGGGGAGUACUUACAUUGUUAUUGCAGGUCCCGCAUCUGUGAUCCCUAUGCUUGCAGACCCCAAAUAUCAGGAUUACACCACAGUAACAGAACCCACGAAAAGGACAACAGAAAAAAUUUACUCUCCAGCACUACAACACCGUAAAUUUAUAAAAACCCCUGAAUUUACUACUUCUUCGAUUCAAUCGAUCAAUGGCAUCAAUGCCGCACAUACAACUAGUUUAAAGAAAUGCCCAUUAAAACUUAAUGCACAACUCAACGCGAUGACCGUAAAUGUCACAGAACUAAAGCCUUCAC